rnacentral:rRNA from 1 species
AACGAACGCUGGCGGCAGGCCUAACACAUGCAAGUCGAGCGAAGCCUUCGGUCCUAGCGGCGGACGGGUGGGUAACGCGUGGGAACGUGCCCUUUGCUACGGAAUAGCCCCGGGAAACUGGGAGUAAUACCGUAUGUGCCCUUCGGGGGAAAGAUUUAGCGGCAAAGGAUCGGCCCGCGUUGGAUUAGGUAGUUGGUGGGGUAAUGGCCUACCAAGCCGACGAUCCAUAGCUGGUUUGAGAGGAUGAUCAGCCACACUGGGACUGAGACACGGCCCAGACUCCUACGGGAGGCAGCAGUGGGGAAUCUUAGACAAUGGGGGAAACCCUGAUCUAGCCAUGCCGCGUGAGCGAUGAAGGCCUUAGGGUUGUAAAGCUCUUUCAGUGGGGAAGAUAAUGACGGUACCCACAGAAGAAGCCCCGGCUAACUCCGUGCCAGCCGCCGCCGUAACAC